CUACCAGUAACCAAAUAGAUUUUUAUUUCUUCUAAACAUUCAAUCUGUCAGCUGAAAAACUCCUACUACACAGAUUCAGAAACUAAGGGCAGACAACUAGAGAAAAAAAAAAACAUGAUUCCAAACAGAAAUAUACACAUUGUACAAUUAACAACAAAAAUACUGAGUCCAAAUGGUAGAGAACAAUGACUGCUAAUUAUGAGCAUAGGAAGGGAAGAAACAGAGUUGUUGACUAGACCACAGUCUUGUGGUAGAACAAGAGAUGUGGUGUUCUCAAAGAGUAUGUAAGAUUGAAAAUAUUUGUACACUGAUCUACAAUCUAUCAAUCAUACAUUGCUAGACAGGCCAGCUAACCAUAGACAUUUAUACAGACCUUGCUGGACAGGUCAGAUGAUCAUGG